rnacentral:rRNA from 1 species
ACAGAGGCGGCAAGCGUUGUUCGGAAUUAUUGGGCGUAAAGAGCAUGUAGGCGGCUCUGUAAGUCUUUUUUGCCCUCCUUCCUCUUCCCUUCCUCCUUUCUUUCGAAACUGCAUGGCUUGAGUGCGGGAGGGGAGAGUGGAACUUCUGGUGGAGCGGUGAAAUGCGUAGAUAUCAGAAGGAACGUCGGCGGCGAAAACGACUCUCUAGACCGUAACUGACGCUGAGUGUGCGAAAGCUAGGGGAGCAAACGG